rnacentral:misc_RNA from 1 species
GUGGGAUUAACCCUAGGGAUCCAAAGAUCUCUGGGGCAAUGGCUCCGGCUGCUCCCAACAUCGCGAACCUCCCGUUGAUCACCUCACCGUAUGCCAACCAUCUUGGCUCGAUAAACCCUCCUGUUCCUUCGGGGUCUGAUAGCCCCAAUGGGUCAAAUCCGUAAUCACCCGGGAGACUUCCAUCCAAGUAAGAAAGACUUUGUUUUGAAGCGAACCACAGUUGUCUAUCUGCUCCU